GGAGACGUGGCCGAGUCGGCUGAAGGCGGCACCCUGCUAAGGUGUUAUAUGGAGUAAUCUGUAUCCAGGGUUCGAAUCCCUGCGUCUCCG
rnacentral:tRNA from 1 species